rnacentral:misc_RNA from 1 species
UUUCCGUAGGUGAACCUGCAGAAGGAUCAUUACAUUCAGUAGCCUAGCUACUUAUUUACACCCUUAUUUUUUUGCGUACCUAUCGUUUCCUCAGCGGGCUUGCCUGCUGGUUAGACAACUUUUAAACCUUUUUAAAUCUUCAAUCAGCGUCUGAAUAAUAUACAAUAAUUACAACUUUUAACAACAGAUCUCUUAGUUCUAGCAUCGAUGAAGAACGCAGC